UCUCCCUCCCCCUCUCCCUCCUCGCCGCCGCCCAGCUUGGCCUCAGACCGGGAGCUGCCGCCGCCGAAGCCGCCAUGGGGGUAGAGGGCUGCACCAAGUGUAUCAAAUACCUGCUCUUCGUCUUCAACUUCAUCUUCUGGCUGGCUGGGGGAAUCAUCCUGGGAGUGGCCCUAUGGCUCCGCCAUGACUCACAGACCACCAACAUCCUCUACCUGCAGCU